rnacentral:tRNA from 2 species
GGGCGUUUAGCUCAGUGGUAGAGCGUCGCAUUUACACUGCGAAGGUCGUAGGUUCAAUCCCCACAACGCCCA